rnacentral:rRNA from 1 species
UGAGUGUGACCAGAACAACCUGGAAAGGUUGACCAUAGUGGGUGACAGUCCCGUAUGCGAAAAUGAUCAAUCAGGACUCGAGUAGGGCGGAACACGUGAAAUCCUGUCUGAACAUGGGGGGACCACCCUCCAAGCCUAAAUACUCGUACAUGACCGAUAGCGAACACAGUACCGUGAGGGAAAGGUGAAAAGUACUCCGAAUAGGAGGGUGAAAUAGAACCUGAAACCGUGCGCUUACAAGCGGUCGGAGCGGAGCGAUUCCGUGACGGCGUGCCUUUUGCAUAAUGAGCCUACGA